rfam:Vigna angularis cultivar Jingnong 6 scaffold2292_2, whole genome shotgun sequence.
AGGUUACUAGCUCAAUUGGGAGAGCAUCGGAUUCCAAAUCCGACGGUUCGGGGUUCAAGUCCUCGGUAGCCUG